rfam:Streptomyces lydicus strain 103, complete genome.
CUUCACCGAGCCGAGCCACAGCGGGCGGUCCUCCGCCCGGCCCUGGCCGUACGUCGCCAGCAGCGCCUGCGCCUC